AACGGGUGGGCUACAGCCUUGGGUGGUGGGGCUGGCCAACUUCGUCCGCCGGACUCGGAAUGCCGCUAUACUUUGCGAGGGGCCUCCGUGUACCAAAAAUAGGCCGCGGGCAAUGCCGCGCCCAAAAGUAACCGCCCGAAGGCCGGGGCGCCAAGUUCGUCCAGCGGAAAAAGGCCACAAAAACGGGUGGGCUAUAGCCUUGGGGGGUGGGGCUGUCCAACUUCGUCCGCCGGACUCAGAAUGCCGUGAGACUUUGCGAGGGGCCUCCGUGUACCAAAAUAAGGGCGCGGGCAAAGCCGCGCUGAAAAAUAAUUGCCUGAAGGCCGGGGCGCCAAGUUCGUCAAGCGGAAAAAGGCCAGAAAAACGGGUGGGAUAUAGCCUUGGGGGGUGGGGCUGGCCAACUUCGUCCGCCGGACUCGGAAUGCCGCGAGACUUUGCGACGGGCCUCCGUGUGCCAAAAAUAGGCAGUGGGAUGUUUAAAAGGUUCGCUGUUCAAAAUUUUAUGUUAUCUAGUGAUAAAAUUUUUGUACUGCAUUUUAUAGAUAGGUAGCAGCAGCAAGUUCCGGGGCGCCAAGUUCGUCCAGCGGAAAAAGGCCACAAAAACGGGUGGGCUAUAGCCUUCGGGAGUGAUGCUGUCCAACUUCGUCCGCCUGACUCGGAAUGCCGCGAGACUUUACGAGGGGCCUCCGUGUGCCAAAAAUAGGCCGCGGGCAAAGCAGCGCACAAAAUUAACAGCCCGAAGGCUGGGGCGCCAAGUUCGUCCAGCGGAGAAAGGCCACAAAAACGGGUGGGCUAUAGCCUUGGGGGGUGGGGCUGGCCAACUUCGUCCGCCAGACUCAGAAUGCCGCGAGACUUUGCGAGGGCCCUCCGUGUACCAAAAAUAGGCCGCGGGCAAAGCUGCGCCCAAAAUUAACAGCCCCAAGGCCGGGGCGCCAAGUUCGUCCAUCGUAAAAAGGCCACAAAAACGGGUGGGCUAUAGCCUUGGGGGGUGGGGCUGGCCAACUUCGUCCGCCGGACUCGGAAUGCCGCGAGACUUUGCGAGGGUCCUCCGUGUGCCAAAAAUAGGCCGUGGGAUAUUUAAAAGGUUCGUGGUUCAAAAUUUUAUGUUAUCUAGUGAUAAAAUUUUGUAGUGCAUUUUAUAGAUAGGUAGCAGCCGCAAGUUCCGGGGCGCCAAGUUCGUCCAGCGGAAAAAGGGCACAAAAACGGGUGGGCUAUAGCCUUGGGGGGUGAUGCUGGCCCACUUCGUCCGCCGGACUCGCAAUGCCGCGAGACUUUGUGAGUGGCCUCCGUGUGACAAAAAUAGGCCGCGGGCAAAGCCGCGCCCAAAAUUAACCGCCCGAAGGCCGGGGCGCCAAGUUCGUCCAACGGAAAAAGGCCACAAAAACGGGUGGGCUAUAGCCUUGGGGGGUGUGGCUGGCCAACUUCGUCCGCCGGACUCGGAAUACCGCAAGACUUUGCGAGGGCCCUCCGUGUGCCAAAAAUAGGCCGCGGGCAAAGCCGCGCCCAAAAUUAACCGCCCGAAGGCCGGGGCGCCAAGUUCGUCCAGCGGAAAAAGGACACAAAAACGGGUGGGCUAUAGCCUUGGGGGGUGGGGCUGGCCAACUUCGUCCGCCGGACUCGGAAUGCCGCGAGACUUUGCGAGGGUCCUCCGUGUGCCAAAAAUAGGCCGUGGGAUGUUUAAAAGGUUCGUGGUUCAAAAUUUUAUGUUAUCUAGUGAUAAAAUUUUGUAGUGCAUUUUAUAGAUAGGUAACAGCAGCAAGUUCCGGGGCGCCAAGUUCGUCCAGCGGAAAAAGGCCACAAAAACGGGUGGGCUAUAGCCUUCGGGGUGGGGCUGGCCAACUUCGUCCGCCGGACUCGGAAUGCCGCGAGACUUUGCGAGGGGCCUCCGUGUGCCAAAAAUAGGCCGCCGGCAAAGCCGCGCACAAAAUUAACCGCCCGAAGGCCGAGGCGCCAAGUUCUCCCAUCGGAAAAAGCCACAAAAACGGGUGGGCUAUAUCCUUGGGGGGUGGGGCUGGCCAACUUCAUCCGCCGGACUCGGAAUGCCGCGAGACUUUGCGACGGGCCUCCGUGUGCCAAAAAUAGGCCGCGGGCAAAGCCGCGCCAAAAAAUAACCGCCCGACGGCCGGGGCGCCAAGUUCGUUCAGCGGAAAAAGGCCACAAAAACGGGUGGGCAACAGCCUUGGGGGGUGGGGGUGGCCAACUUCGUCCGCCGGACUCGGAAUGCCGCAGGACUUUGUGAGUGGCCUCCGUGUGCCAAAAAUAGGCCGCCGGCAAAGCCGCGCCCAAAAUUAACCACCCGAAGGCCGAGGCGCCAAGUUCUCCCAGCGGAAAAAGCAACAAAAGCGGGUGGGCUAUAUCCUUGGGGGCUGGCCAACUUCGUCCGCCGGACUCGGAAUGCCGCGAGACUUUGCGACGGGCCUCCGUGUGCCAAAAAUAGGCCGUGGGAUGUUUAAAAGGUUCAUGGUUCAAAAUUUUAGGUUAUCUAGUGAUAACAUUUUGUAGUGCAUUUUAUAGAUAGGUAGCAGCAGAAAGUUCCAGGGCGCCAAGUUCGUCCAGCGGAAAAAGGCCACAAAAACGGGUGGGCUAUAGCCUUGGGGGGUGGGGCUGGCUAACUUCGUCCGCCGGACUUGGAAUGCCGCGAGACUUUGCGAGGGGCCUCUGUGUGCCAAAAAUAGGCUGCGGGCAAAGCCGCACCCAAAAUUAACAGCCCGAAGGCCAGGGCGCCAAGUUCGUCCAGCGGAAAAAGGCCACAAAAACGGGUGGGCUAUAGCCUUGGGGGGUGAUGCUGGCCAACUUCGUCCGCCGGACUCGGAAUGCCAUGAGACUUUGCGAGGGGCCUCCUUGUGCCAAAAAUAGGCCGCGGGCAAAGCCGUGCCCAAAAAUAACCGCCCGAAGGCCGGGGCGGCAAGUUCGUCCAGCGGAAAAAGGCCACAAAAACGGGUGGGCUAUAGCCUUGGGGGGUGAUGCUGGCCCACUUCGUCCGCCGGACUCGGAAUGCUGCGAGACUUUGCGAGGGGCCUUCUUGUGCCAAAAAUAGGCCGCGGGCAAAGCCGCACCCAAAAAUAACCGCCCGAUGGCUGGGGUGCCAAGUUCGUCCAGCAGAAAAAGGCCACAAAAACGGGUGGGCUAUUGCCUUGGGGGGUGGGGUUGCCCAACUUCGUCCCCCGGACUCGGAAUGCCGCGAGACUUUGCGAGGGGCCUCCGUGUGCCAAAAAUAAGCCGCGGGUAAAGCCGCGCCCAAAAUUAACCGCCCGAAGGCUGGGGCGCCAAGUUCGUCCGGCGGAAAAAGGCCACAAAAACGAGUGGGCUAUAGCCUUGGGGGGUGGGGCUGGCCAACUUCGUCCGCCGGGCUCGGAUUGCGACGAGACAUUGCGAGGGGCCUCCGUGUACCAAAAAUAGGUCGCGGGAAAAGCCGCACCCAAAAAUAACAGCCCGAAGGCCUGGGCAACAAGUUCGUCCAGCGGAAAAAGGCCACAAAAACGGGUGGGCUAUAGCCUUGGGCGGUGGGUCUGGCGAACUUCGUCUGCCGGACUCGGAAUGCCGCGAGACUUUCCGAGGGGCCUCCGUGUGCCAAAAAUAGGCCGCGGGCAAAGCCGCGCCCAAAAAUAACCGCCCGACGGCUGGGGUGCCCAGUUCGUCCCGCGGAAAAAGGCCAUAAAAACGGGUGGGCUAUAGCCUUGGGGGGUGAUGAUUGCCAACUUCGUCCGCCGGACUCGGAAUGCCGCGAGACUUUGCGAGGGNNNNNNNNNNNNNNNNNNNNNNNNNNNNNNNNNNNNNNNNNNNNNNNNNNNNNNNNNNNNNNNNNNNNNNNNNNNNNNNNNNNNNNNNNNNNNNNNNNNNNNNNNNNNNNNNNNNNNNNNNNNNNNNNNNNNNNNNNNNNNNNNNNNNNNNNNNNNNNNNNNNNNNNNNNNNNNNNNNNNNNNNNNNNNNUGCCAAAAAUAGGCCGCGGGCAAAGCCGCGCCCAAAAUUAACCGCCCGAAGGCCGGGGCGCCAAGUUCGUCCAGUGGAAAAAGGCCACAAAAACGGGUGGGCUAUAGCCUUGGGGGGUGGGGCUGGCCAACUUCGUCCGCCGGACUCGGAAUGCCGCGAGACUUUGCGAGGGGUCUCCGUGUGCCAAAAAUAGUCCGUGGGCAAAGCCGUGCCCAAAAAUAACCGCCCGAAGGCCGGGGCGCCAAGUUCGUCCAUCGGAAAAAGGCCACAAAAACGGGUGGGCUAUAGCCUUGGGGGGUGGGGCUGGCCAACUUCGUCCGCCGGACUCGGAUUGCCACGAGACAUUGCGAGGGGCCUCCGUGUGCCAAAAAUAGGUCGCAGGCAAAGCCGCGCCCAAAAAUAACAGCCCAAAGACCUGGGCGCCAACUUCGUCCAGCAGAAAAAGGCCACAAAAACGGGUGGGCUAUAGCCUUGGGGGGUGGGUCUGGCCAACUUCGUCCGCCGGACUCAGAAUGCCGCGAGACUUUGCGAGGGGCCUCCGUGUGUCAAAAAUAGGCCGCGGGAAAAGCCGCGCCCAAAAAGAACCGCCCGACGGCUGGGGUACCAAGUUCGUCCAGCGGAAAAAGGCUACAAAAACGGGUGGGCUAUAGCCUUGGGGGGUGGGGCUGGCUAACUUCGUCCGCCGGACUUGGAAUGCCGCGAGACUUUGCGAGGGGCCUCCGUGUUCCAAAAAUAGGCCGCGGGCAAAGCCGUACCCAAAAUUAACCGCCCGAAGGCUGGGGCGCCAAGUUUGUCCAGCGGAAAAAGGCCACAAAAACGGGUGGGCUAUAGCCUUGGGGGGUGAUGCUGGCCAUCUUUGUCCGCCGGACUUGGAAUGCCACGAGACUUUGCGAGGGCCCUCCGUGUGCCAAAAAUAGGCCGUGGGCAAAGCCGCGCCCAAAAUUAACCGCCCGAAGGCCGGGGCGCCAAGUUCGUCCAGCGGAAAAGGCCACAAAAACGGGUGGGCUAUAGCCUUGGGGGGUGGGGCUAGCCAACUUCAUCCGCCGGACUCGGAAUGCCGUGAGACUUUAUGAGGGGCCUCCUUGUCCCAAACAUAGGCCGUGGGCAAAGCCGCGCCCAAAAAUAACCGCCCGAAGGCCGGGGCGGCAAGUUCGUCCAGCGGAAAAAGGCCACAAAAACGGGUGGGCUAUAGCCUUGGGGGGUGAUGCUGGCCCACUUCCUCCGCCGGACUCGGAAUGCUGCGAGACUUUGCGAGGGGCCUUCGUGUGCCAAAAAUAGGCCGCGGGCAAAGCCGCACCCAAAAAUAACCGCCCGACGGCUGGGGUGCCAAGUACGUCCAGCAGAAAAAGGCCACAAAAACGGGUGGGCUAUUGCCUUGGGGGGUGGGGUUGCCCAACUUCGUCCCCCGGACUCGGAAUGCCGCGAGACUUUGCGAGGGGCCUCCGUGUGCCAAAAAUAAGCCGCGGGUAAAGCCGCGCCCAAAAUUAACCGCCCGAAGGCUGGGGCGCCAAGUUCGUCCGGCGGAAAAAAGGCCACAAAAACGAGUGGGCUAUAGCCUUGGGGGGUGGGGCUGGCCAACUUCGUCCGCCGGGCUCGGAUUGCGACGAGACAUUGCGAGGGGCCUCCGUGUACCAAAAAUAAGUCGCGGGAAAAGCCGCACCCAAAAUAACAGCCCGAAAGCCUGGGCAACAAGUUCGUCCAGCGGAAAAAGGCCACAAAAACGGGUGGGCUAUAGCCUUGGGCAGUUGGGUCUGGCGAACUUCGUCUGCCGGACUCGGAUGCCGCGAGACUUUGCGAGGGGCCUCCGUGUGUCAAAAAUAGGCCGCGGGAAAAGCCGCGCCCAAAAAGAACCGCCCGACGGCUGGGGUACCAAGUUCGUCCAGCGGAAAAAGGCUACAAAAACGGGUGGGCUAUAGCCUUGGGGGGUGGGGCUGGCUAACUUCGUCCGCCGGACUUGGAAUGCCGCGAGACUUUGCGAGGGGCCUCCGUGUUCCAAAAAUAGGCCGCGGGCAAAGCCGUACCCAAAAUUAACCGCCCGAAGGCUGGGGCGCCAAGUUUGUCCAGCGGAAAAAGGCCACAAAAACGGGUGGGCUAUAGCCUUGGGGGGUGAUGCUGGCCAUCUUUGUCCGCCGGACUUGGAAUGCCACGAGACUUUGCGAGGGCCCUCCGUGUGCCAAAAAUAGGCCGUGGGCAAAGCCGCGCCCAAAAUUAACCGCCCGAAGGCCGGGGCGCCAAGUUCGUCCAGCGGAAAAGGCCACAAAAACGGGUGGGCUAUAGCCUUGGGGGGUGGGGCUAGCCAACUUCAUCCGCCGGACUCGGAAUGCCGUGAGACUUUAUGAGGGGCCUCCUUGUCCCAAACAUAGGCCGUGGGCAAAGCCGCGCCCAAAAAUAACCGCCCGAAGGCCGGGGCGGCAAGUUCGUCCAGCGGAAAAAGGCCACAAAAACGGGUGGGCUAUAGCCUUGGGGGGUGAUGCUGGCCCACUUCGUCCGCCGGACUCGGAAUGCUGCGAGACUUUGCGAGGGGCCUUCGUGUGCCAAAAAUAGGCCGCGGGCAAAGCCGCACCCAAAAAUAACCGCCCGACGGCUGGGGUGCCAAGUACGUCCAGCAGAAAAAGGCCACAAAAACGGGUGGGCUAUUGCCUUGGGGGGUGGGGUUGCCCAACUUCGUCCCCCGGACUCGGAAUGCCGCGAGACUUUGCGAGGGGCCUCCGUGUGCCAAAAAUAAGCUGCGGGUAAAGCCGCGCCCAAAAUUAACCGCCCGAAGGCUGGGGCGCCAAGUUCGUCCGGCGGAAAAAGGCCACAAAAACGAGUGGGCUAUAGCCUUGGGGGGUGGGGCUGGCCAACUUCGUCCGCCGGGCUCGGAUUGCGACGAGACAUUGCGAGGGGCCUCUGUGUACCAAAAAUAGGUCGCGGGAAAAGCCGCACCCAAAAAUAACAGCCCGAAGGCCUGGGCAACAAGUUCGUCCAGCGGAAAAAGGCCACAAAAACGGGUGGGCUAUAGCCUUGGGCGGUGGGUCUGGCGAACUUCGUCUGCCGGACUCGGAAUGCCGCGAGACUUUCCGAGGGGCCUCCGUGUGCCAAAAAUAGGCCGCGGGCAAAGCCGCGCCCAAAAAUAACCGCCCGACGGCUGGGGUGCCCAGUUCGUCCCGCGGAAAAAGGCCAUAAAAACGGGUGGGCUAUAGCCUUGGGGGGUGAUGAUUGCCAACUUCGUCCGCCGGACUCGGAAUGCCGCGAGACUUUGCGAGGGGCCUCCGUGUGCCAAAAAUAGGCCGCGGGCAAAGCCGUGCCCAAAAUUAACCGCCCGAAGGCCGGGGCGCCAAGUUCGUCCACCGGAAAAAGGCCACAAAAACGGGCGGGCUAUACCCUUGGGGGGUGAUGCUGGNNNNNNNNNNNNNNNNNNNNNNNNNNNNNNNNNNNNNNNNNNNNNNNNNNNNNNNNNNNNNNNNNNNNNNNNNNNNNNNNNNNNNNNNNNNNNNNNNNNNCCGCGUGCCAAAAAUAGGCCACGGACAAUGCCGCGUCCAAAAUUAACCGCCCGAAGGCCGGGGCGCCAAGUUCGUCCAGUGGAAAAAGGCCACAAAAACGGGUGGGCUAUAGCCUUGGGGGGUGGGGCUGGCCAACUUCGUCCGCCGGACUCGGAAUGCCGCGAGACUUUGCGAGGGGUCUCCGUGUGCCAAAAAUAGUCUGUGGGCAAAGCCGUGCACAAAAAUAACCGCCCGAAGGCCGGGGCGCCAAGUUCGUCCAUCGGAAAAAGGCCACAAAAACGGGUGGGCUAUAGCCUUGGGGGGUGGGGCUGGCCAACUUCGUCCGCCGGACUCGGAUUGCCACGAGACAUUGCGAGGGGCCUCCGUGUGCCAAAAAUAGGUCGCAGGCAAAGCCGCGCCCAAAAAUAACAGCCCAAAGACCUGGGCGCCAACUUCGUCCAGCAGAAAAAGGCCACAAAAACGGGUGGGCUAUAGCCUUGGGGGGUGGGUCUGGCCAACUUCGUCCGCCGGACUCGGAAUGCCGCGAGACUUUGCGAGGGGCCUCCGUGUGUCAAAAAUAGGCCGCGGGAAAAGCCGCGCCCAAAAAGAACCGCCCGACGGCUGGGGUACCAAGUUCGUCCAGCGGAAAAAGGCUACAAAAACGGGUGGGCUAUAGCCUUGGGGGGUGGGGCUGGCUAACUUCGUCCGCCGGACUUGGAAUGCCGCGAGACUUUGCGAGGGGCCUCCGUGUUCCAAAAAUAGGCCGCGGGCAAAGCCGUACCCAAAAUUAACCGCCCGAAGGCUGGGGCGCCAAGUUUGUCCAGCGGAAAAAGGCCACAAAAACGGGUGGGCUAUAGCCUUGGGGGGUGAUGCUGGCCAUCUUUGUCCGCCGGACUUGGAAUGCCACGAGACUUUGCGAGGGCCCUCCGUGUGCCAAAAAUAGGCCGUGGGCAAAGCCGCGCCCAAAAUUAACCGCCCGAAGGCCGGGGCGCCAAGUUCGUCCAGCGGAAAAGGCCACAAAAACGGGUGGGCUAUAGCCUUGGGGGGUGGGGCUAGCCAACUUCAUCCGCCGGACUCGGAAUGCCGUGAGACUUUAUGAGGGGCCUCCUUGUCCCAAACAUAGGCCGUGGGCAAAGCCGCGCCCAAAAAUAACCGCCCGAAGGCCGGGGCGGCAAGUUCGUCCAGCGGAAAAAGGCCACAAAAACGGGUGGGCUAUAGCCUUGGGGGGUGAUGCUGGCCCACUUCGUCCGCCGGACUCGGAAUGCUGCGAGACUUUGCGAGGGGCCUUCGUGUGCCAAAAAUAGGCCGCGGGCAAAGCCGCACCCAAAAAUAACCGCCCGACGGCUGGGGUGCCAAGUACGUCCAGCAGAAAAAGGCCACAAAAACGGGUGGGCUAUUGCCUUGGGGGGUGGGGUUGCCCAACUUCGUCCCCCGGACUCGGAAUGCCGCGAGACUUUGCGAGGGGCCUCCGUGUGCCAAAAAUAAGCCGCGGGUAAAGCCGCGCCCAAAAUUAACCGCCCGAAGGCUGGGGCGCCAAGUUCGUCCGGCGGAAAAAGGCCACAAAAACGAGUGGGCUAUAGCCUUGGGGGGUGGGGCUGGCCAACUUCGUCCGCCGGGCUCGGAUUGCGACGAGACAUUGCGAGGGGCCUCCGUGUACCAAAAAUAGGUCGCGGGAAAAGCCGCACCCAAAAAUAACAGCCCGAAGGCCUGGGCAACAAGUUCGUCCAGCGGAAAAAGGCCACAAAAACGGGUGGGCUAUAGCCUUGGGCGGUGGGUCUGGCGAACUUCGUCUGCCGGACUCGGAAUGCCGCGAGACUUUCCGAGGGGCCUCCGUGUGCCAAAAAUAGGCCGCGGGCAAAGCCGCGCCCAAAAAUAACCGCCCGACGGCUGGGGUGCCCAGUUCGUCCCGCGGAAAAAGGCCACAAAAACGGGUGGGCUAUAGCCUUGGGGGUUGAUGAUUGCCAACUUCGUCCGCCGGACUCGGAAUGCCGCGAGACUUUGCGAGGGGCCUCCGUGUGCCAAAAAUAGGCCGCGGGCAAAGCCGUGCCCAAAAUUAACCGCCCGAAGGCCGGGGCGCCAAGUUCGUCCAGCGGAAAAAGGCCACAAAAACGGGUGGGCUAUAGCCUUGGGGGGUGAUGCUGGCCAACUUCGUCCGCCGGACUCGGAAUGCCGCGAGACUUUGCGAGGGGCCUCCGCGUGCCAAAAAUAGGCCACGGACAAUGCCGCGUCCAAAAUUAACCGCCCGAAGGCCGGGGCGCCAAGUUCGUCCAGUGGAAAAAGGCCACAAAAACGGGUGGGCUAUAGCCUUGGGGGGUGGGGCUGGCCAACUUCGUCCGCCGGACUCGGAAUGCCGCGAGACUUUGCGAGGGGUCUCCGUGUACCAAAAAUAGUCUGUGGGCAAAGCCGUGCACAAAAAUAACCGCCCGAAGGCCGGGGCGCCAAGUUCGUCCAUCGGAAAAAGGCCACAAAAACGGGUGGGCUAUAGCCUUGGGGGGUGGGGCUGGCCAACUUCGUCCGCCGGACUCGGAUUGCCACGAGACAUUGCGAGGGGCCUCCGUGUGCCAAAAAUAGGUCACAGGCAAAGCCGCGCCCAAAAAUAACAGCCCAAAGACCUGGGCGCCAACUUCGUCCAGCAGAAAAAGGCCACAAAAACGGGUGGGCUAUAGCCUUGGGGGGUGGGUCUGGCCA
rnacentral:lncRNA from 1 species